rnacentral:rRNA from 1 species
GACAGAGGGUGCGAACGUUGUUCGGAAUUACUGGGCGUAAAGCGCAUGUAGGCGGCAAUGCAAGUCGGGCGUGAAAUCCCACGGCUCAACCGUGGAAGUGCACUCGAAACUGCAUAGCUAGAGUCCUGGAGAGGAAGGUGGAAUGCUUGGUGUAGAGGUGAAAUUCGUAGAUAUCAAGCGGAACACCGGUGGCGAAGGCGGCCUUCUGGACAGUGACUGACGCUGAGACGCGAAAGCGUGGGGAGCAAACAGG